CAAAGGCCUGCAUACAGGGAUAUUUAUAAUUUAUGCCUGCAUUGCUAUGUAGGAGACUCACUUGGAAUCUGCUCCAGGACUCCAACUUCUUGUCUGACGGAGACCAGGAAAGGGUGGGAGACAAGGAAUAAAGGUUUCAGAGUAGCAGCCGUGUUAGUCUGUAUCCGCAAAAAGAAGAACAGGAGUACUUGUGGCAAGCAGCAGCAAUGACAAUACUCCUGCUUUCCAAGGAAGGGCUUGAGAACCCACUUAUUAGCACCUAAUGAAGCAGCACAUUCUUCAGUGUCCUUCCCCUCUCAAAACAGAAGCUCUGGAAGUUGCCAUAACAGAAAGGAGCUCUCCGUAUCAGCACUUCUCAUGCACCUCAGAGAUUGUUCCCACCCAGGAACAGUGCUCCAAUGCCAAUGAAAAGAAGUAUACCACCCUACCCUGCUUGCCAAGGGACAGCUGCUGCAAGAUAAGGAACACAUAGGUAGGCAGCAAGUAAGACGUAUACUUUCUCACUCAAAGAAGAGCGUACUAAAGAUGAGGUACUACUGGCAAGGCCAUACAAGCACGGCUAUGCAUCUGGAUUUCCAAAGGAAUAUUGGGAGAACGGUUUCUCUAGCUCACCAGUAUUUUCUGAAAAUCAAUUGCACAGCUCCUCUGAUGAACUAUCUUUAAAACACACUGGGGGGAGGGAGAGGGCGGUGCAUGGAGAGACUUUCGGUAGCAUUGCCCUCAUGAGCAGUCCUGAAAUGUACACAAUUCAUUUUGAAAUCAAGUAGAUAUAGCAGACAACAGGCUGAUUUCAAAAUAGCUCAGAAAGAAUGAAAUGAAAUCAUGACAAACACACCCAGCUAUGACUACCAUGAUAGAUGUAUUAGAAAUGCAAUUAAGAUAUUUCAUUUACGUCCGCAGUGAAACCAUUACCUGGUAUGUAAAUUUCACAGCUUCAUAGCAACUAGCCAAUUAGCUGAGAAGUCAGAGAAUUUCCUGCCCUUUCCCCCAUUAGCAUUCUGCACACUGUGCUCUCCUGCUAGAUCUGCUAUUCUUACACCAAGCCCUUUGACCUCUUGACGUGGGCGCUGGGAAAUACCAACUCUUUUAGAUACACACAGUGGACUUUCAUCACUUACGCUUACACUACUCCUUCAAAUCGGCAUUUUAAAUACAUGGUCUCUGUCUCUAUUCUUCCCCUCCCUCCACAUACAUGCCCUCAAAAGAUACUCCACCAUUUA